CGAAAGCUACGCUAAUACCGCAUACGAUCUAUGGAUGAAAGCCGGGGGGAUCGCAAGACCUCGCGCGAUUGGAGCGGCCGAUAUCAGAUUAGGUAGUUGGUGAGGUAAAGGCUCACCAAGCCGACGAUCUGUAGCUGGUCUGAGAGGACGACCAGCCACACUGGGACUGAGACACGGCCCAGACUCCUACGGGAGGCAGCAGUGGGGAAUUUUGGACAAUGGGCGCAAGCCUGAUCCAGCAAUGCCGCGUGCAGGAUGAAGGCCUUCGGGUUGUAAACUGCUUUGUACGGAACGAAACGGUGAGCUCUAAUACAGUUUGCUAAUGACGGUACCGUAAGAAUAAGCACCGGCUAACUACGUG
rnacentral:rRNA from 1 species